GACAGAGGGUGCAAACGUUGUUCGGAAUUACUGGGCGUAAAGCGCGUGUAGGCUGCUCGGAAAGUCGGAUGUGAAAGCCCUGGGCUCAACCUAGGAAGUGCAUUCGAAACUUCUGAGCUUGAGUAUCGGAGAGGAAGGCGGAAUUCUCGGUGUAGAGGUGAAAUUCGUAGAUAUCGAGAGGAACACCGGUGGCGAAGGCGGCCUUCUGGACGAUUACUGACGCUGAGACGCGAAAGCGUGGGGAG
rnacentral:rRNA from 1 species